UCGGAGGGCCUACCCCCUUCCCCAAUCUAGAUUCAAUGAUAUUCCUUAAAACAUCGUCUUCACGUAGGAAGUCGGAGGGCCUACCUCCUUCCCCAAUCUAGUUUCAACAAUGCUUUUUAAAGUUUUUCUCAAGAUAACAAUCACCUUCACGUAGGAAGUCGGAGGGCCUACCUCCUUCCCCAAUCUAGAUUCAGUGAUGAGAUCUUGGAAUUAUUUGGCUUUUUGGCUUUUUUUUAUGAUCUCCCUUAUACUCACUUAUACUACUGGCGCUUUGAGAAUUUUUAAAGGUUAAUGCACCACUAAGAUUAGAACGCGUUUCCUUAAAAUACCUAUUCAUACAUUUACUCAAGGGAAGCAACUUUGUGUUUUUCUCAUUGGAGAAUUUUAUUCACUUUAAAACAAGAUGUGGGUAUAUCAAGAAGACUUAAAACACAAGAGUUUGCUUUCAUGUACAAGAAUCAACCAAAUAAGAGGAGACAAUGAAAAUUUUGUGUCAUGAUAUUUUCAAUAAAAAUUAGCUACUUAACCAUGCCUUUUACAAUAGAACUAUACAAAAGAAUAAAGUUCAAGGGAGUUUGGAAACACUACGACUAAAGACACUUUAUUAGGCUCCCCCCACACUUAGGAGAAGCAUUGUCCUCAAUGAUUCAAAAUAAGAUAAAUGAAGAAGAAGAAGAAGAAGAAGAAGAAGAAGAAGAAGAAGAAGAAGAAGAAGAAGAAGA
rnacentral:lncRNA from 1 species